GACGAACGCUGGCGGCGUGCCUAACACAUGCAAGUCGAGCGAGUGAAUCUCCUUCGGGAGUGAAGCUAGCGGCGGACGGGUGAGUAACACGUGGGCAACCUGCCUCAUAGAGGGGAAUAGCCUUUCGAAAGGAAGAUUAAUACCGCAUAAGAUUGUAGCUUCGCAUGAAGUAGCAAUUAAAGGAGCAAUCCGCUAUGAGAUGGGCCCGCGGCGCAUUAGCUAGUUGGUGAGGUAAAGGCCUACCAAGGCAACGAUCAGUAGUCGGUCUGAGAGGAUGAUCGGCCACACUGGGACUGAGACACGGCCCAGACUCCUACGGGAGGCAGCAGUGGGGAAUAUUGGACAAUGGGCGAAAGCCUGAUCCAGCAAUGCCGCGUGAGUGAUGAAGGCCCUUUGGGUUGUAAAGCUCUUUUAUUAGGGAAGAUAAUGACGGUACCUAAUGAAUAAGCACCGACUAACUACGUGCCAGCCGCCGCGGUAA
rnacentral:rRNA from 1 species